UAAAUUUAAAUGUCAGAUGACCAACAAAUGAUUUUUGGUAUAAGUAUAGCCCAUGCUAUAUUUGGGAUAUACUUAUACUAAAAGGUAUUUAUUAUUUAUCUGCGAUUCAGAUUUAACU
rnacentral:miRNA from 1 species